AUGAUGUCCCCAUCACAUCUUGGGCUUCUGCUCCUCUGGAUUUCAGGUGCCAGAUGUGACAUCCAGUUGACCCAGUCUCCAUCCUCCCUGUCUGCAUCUGUAGGAGACAAAGUCACCAUCACCUGCCAGGCCAGUCAGAGCAUUAGCACCAGCUUACACUGGUACCAGCAGAAACCGUAUCAGCCUCCAAAGCUUCUAAUAAAGUAUGCUUCUCAGUCCAUCUCUGGGAUUCCCUCACGGUUCAGUGGCAGUGGAUCUGGGACGGAUUUCAAACUCACCAUCAGCAGCCUAGAAGCUGAAGAUGCUGCAACUUACUACNCUCAUCAGGCCAAAUUAACAUGGUAUCAAUAUACUGUUGUAUGGGAUGAUGCUUUGUGUAAUGUCCACACAAUAAAAGCUUCUUCAGCCUAUACUGUGACAGUAAGCAAGAGAGUUAACAUAGCCCUGGGCCAAGACUGA